rnacentral:tRNA from 1 species
CUCUGAGUGGUCUAGUUGGUUCAUGGCGUCCGACUGUAAUUGCUUAAAUGCCAUCGGAAUGUCGGCGGUUCGACUCCGUCCUCGGAGA